AUUGAACGCUGGCGGCAUGCCUUACACAUGCAAGUCGAACGGCAGCACGGGUGCUUGCACCUGGUGGCGAGUGGCGAACGGGUGAGUAAUACAUCGGAACAUGUCCUGUAGUGGGGGUUAGCCGGCGGAAAGCCGGAUUAAUACCGCUAACGACCUACGGAGGAAACCGGGGGCCCUCCGGGCCUGCCGCUAUGGGGUGGGCGGAUGGCUGAUUAGCUAGUUGGUGGGGUAAAGGCCUACCAAGGCGACGAUCAGUAGCUGGUCUGAGAGGACGACCAGCCACACUGGGACUGAGACACGGCCCAGACUCCUACGGGAGGCAGCAGUGGGGAAUUUUGGACAAUGGGCGAAAGCCUGAUCCAGCAAUGCCGCGUGUGUGAAGAAGGCCUUCGGGUUGUAAAGCACUUUUGUCCGGAAAGAAAUCCUUGGCCCUAAUACGGUCGGGGGAUGACGGUACCGGAAGAAUAAGCACCGGCUAACUACGUG
rnacentral:rRNA from 1 species